UACGUAGGGUGCGAGCGUUUGUCCGGAAUUAUUGGGCGUAAAGGGCUCGUAGGCGGUCUGUCACGUCGGGAGUGAAAACACGGGGCUUAACCCCGUGCCUGCUUCCGAUACGGGCAGACUAGAGGUAUGCAGGGGAGAACGGAAUUCCUGGUGUAGCGGUGAAAUGCGCAGAUAUCAGGAAGAACACCCGUGGCUAAGGCGGCUCUCUAGUACGGUACUGACGCUGAGACGCGAAAGCGUGGGGAGCGAACAGG
rnacentral:rRNA from 1 species